UUAUAUUAUAUUAUAUUAUAUUAUAUUAUAUUAUUGUUGUUUUUAUUAUUCCAGGAGAUAGGAGCAGAAGAAGAGAGAGUAGUUAGAAGCUUUGACAGUGACUGGGCUCUACCUAUCUUGUCUCUUAAGGGAUUUCUGAGGGAAGAAAAUGCAUAUUCAUCAUCCCCAUAUCCCCCUGCGUGCCUAGCUAUACACACUAUCUCCUGCUCAUGGUAUUUCCCACGUGGGCCAAGGCUCCAUGGAAUUACCCAGACUAGAGCCUUCCAGGUUCGAAACUGUACCUAAGAGAUGGGGACAACCUUUCUUCUCAGAUGACAUUCUCUGUCAACAAAGAGGAACAUCCUGGAGGAAGAGUUCUCAGGGAUUUUGCUAACAUCAGGGUCAAAAAGAGAAGGAAGUUUUGUUGAACUUCACCUUUGAGAAGAAAGCUAGAAGACGGAGGCGCAAGAUUGUUUCAGUUACUCUGAAAUGAACUGCAGAUGGGAGAAAUAUAAAAUAUUGCCACAGCUCUGGGACUGGUAACACCAAGUUCGUUAUUUUGGCUUCUCAGAGGUAGUUAGCAGUCAAAUGAUUUGUGUGUUUCGGUCAUCAAAUACAAUCAUGGGUUGGGACAGCAACCAGCCUUGGAGCAACAUGAUUCCAAGGGAUUGAGUGAAUGGCAGGGUUGUAGGUUGCCAUGUACAAUGGUCAAGAAAGAAUUCAUGAGACAUUGUACGCUGCAACGUCAUAGGUUUAAGUAGCCCAGGGCAGAAAGAGUUGCACUUUUGCUGUAUAUCUGCUUAGUGCUUAAGGGGCAGGGGAUGUGCAGGGAGUAUUAGAUCAUAUCUGUCUUCUAAUUUCUACUGGUAAAAACAACUUUCAUAAAGUUUCUCUGGUGCUUAUUAUUCAGCUUGAUAUUAACUAUUGUUGAGAUAUACAGGAAGUCAUGAGACCCUCUAAGAACAUAGCAAUGAGGGGCACCUGGGUGACUCAGUAGGUGAAACGUCCAACUCUUGGUUUCAGCUCAGGUCACGAUCUCACAGCUUCAUGGGUUUGAGCCCCACAUCGGGCUCUGUGCUGACUGUUUGGAGCCUGCUUGGGAUUCUCUCUUUCUCUCUCUCUCUGCCCCUACCCCACUUGCACUAUCUCUGUGUCUCUCAAAAUAAAUAAAUAAACUUAAAAAAAAAAAAAGAAUGU
rnacentral:lncRNA from 1 species